rnacentral:rRNA from 1 species
UACGUAGGAUGCAAGCGUUGUCCGGAAUUAUUGGGCGUAAAGAGCUCGUAGGCGGUCUGUUGCGUCGGCUGUGAAAACCCGGGGCUCAACCCCGGGCCUGCAGCCGAUACGGGCAGACUAGAGUUCGGCAGGGGAGACUGGAAUUCCUGGUGUAGCGGUGAAAUGCGCAGAUAUCAGGAGGAACACCGGUGGCGAAGGCGGGUCUCUGGGCCGAUACUGACGCUGAGGAGCGAAAGCGUGGGGAGCGAACAGG